rnacentral:rRNA from 1 species
UGGGGAAUAUUGGACAAUGGGCGCAAGCCUGAUCCAGCCAUGCCGCGUGAGUGACGAAGGCCUUAGGGUUGUAAAGCUCUUUUUGGCGGGGAAGAUAAUGACGGUACCCGCAGAAUAAGCUCCGGCUAACUUCGUGCCAGCAGCCGCGGUAAUACGAAGGGAGCUAGCGUUGUUCGGAAUCACUGGGCGUAAAGCGCACGUAGGUGGGCAGUUAAGUCAGGGGUGAAAGCCCGAGGCUCAACCUCGGAAUUGCCUCUGAUACUGGCUGUCUAGAGUCCGAGAGAGGUGGGUGGAAUUCCUAGUGUAGAGGUGAAAUUCGUAGAUAUUAGGAAGAACACCGGUGGCGAAGGCGGCCCACUGGCUCGGUACUGACACUGAGGUGCGAAAGCGUGGGGAGCAAACAGGAUUAGAUACCCAGGUAGUCCCUGAGCGGGCUGGCAAGGCGCAU